GCGAACGCUGGCGGCAGGCCUAACACAUGCAAGUCGAACGAACCUUUCGGGGUUAGUGGCGGACGGGUGAGUAACACGUGGGAACGUGCCUUUAGGUUCGGAAUAACUCAGGGAAACUUGUGCUAAUACCGAAUGUGCCCUUCGGGGGAAAGAUUUAUCGCCUUUAGAGCGGCCCGCGUCUGAUUAGCUAGUUGGUUGAGGUAAUGGCUCACCAAGGCGACGAUCAGUAGCUGGUCUGAGAGGAUGAUCAGCCACAUUGGGACUGAGACACGGCCCAAACUCCUACGGGAGGCAGCAGUGGGGAAUCUUGCGAAAUGGGCGAAAGCCUGACGCAGCCAUGCCGCGUGAAUGAUGAAGGUCUUAGGAUUGUAAAAUUCUUUCACCGGGGACGAUAAUGACGGUACCCGGAGAAGAAGCCCCGGCUAACUUCGUG
rnacentral:rRNA from 1 species